rnacentral:rRNA from 1 species
AGUCGAACGAUGAUAUCACUGCUUGCAGUGAUUGAUUAGUGGCGAACGGGUGAGUAACACGUGAGGAACUUGCCCAUGAGCGGGGGACAACAUUCGGAAACGGAUGCUAAUACCCCAUAGGUGGAUUGGUCGCAUGACGAAUUCAUUAAAGGUGGCUUUGCUACCACUCAUGGAUAGCCUCGCGGCGUAUUAGCUAGUUGGUAAGGUAAUGGCUUACCAAGGCAGUGAUACGUAGCCGACUUGAGAGGGUGAUCGGCCACACUGGGACUGAGACACGGCCCAGACUCCUACGGGAGGCAGCAGUAGGGAAUCUUCCACAAUGGGUGCAAACCUGAUGGAGCAAUGCCGCGUGAGUGAAGAAGGUCUUCGGAUCGUAAAGCUCUGUUGUUAGAGAAGAACACGUGCUAGGUAACUACUAGCGCCUUGACGGUAUCUAACCAGAAAGUCACGGCUAACUACGUGCCAGCAGCCGCGGUAAUACGUAGGUGACAAGCGUUGUCCGGAUUUAUUGGGCGUAAAGGGAGCGCAGGCGGUCUGUUUAGUCUAAUGUGAAAGCCCACGGCUUAACCGUGGAACGGCAUUGGAAACUGACAGACUUGAAUGUAGAAGAGGAAAAUGGAAUUCCAAGUGUAGCGGUGGAAUGCGUAGAUAUUUGGAGGAACACCAGUGGCGAAGGCGAUUUUCUGGUCUAACAUUGACGCUGAGGCUCGAAAGCGUGGGGAGCGAACA